AGAAAUCUAAUAACUAAAGCAGAAAAUUUGAACAACCUAAGGUUUAGAGAAAGUAAUGUAAAGGUAAUGUAUAACAAAAAGUGUGGUAAUUAAGAAUAUUAGUAUUAACAUAUACAUGGUGAUUAGUUUUUUGUUGCAUCAUUCAUAUCACAAGAUACUUAAAUAUAAGUAUUAACUGAAGAAAAAUCCUUCAGUAUUUCAAGUUCUUAAUCACCAUGAACUGAAAAAAGUUAUUGAAAAGUGACUGGUAGUUGUUUUCAUGAAGUAUGCCAAGGGAGAUAACUCUAAUCACAUUGAGAGGAGGUCCAUUUUAAAGCAUUUAAAACUAGUUAAGAUUGUUUUUAAUUAUAUUUAUUUCGGUAUUUAAGAUAUGUAUUUAAAUGAGCUAAUUUAUGUGUAUGCCUUCUCUUAAUCUUGUUUCUUGGUAUAUAAUUUUGAUAAACAUUUUUUUCAGCAUUUCUUUAAAAUGAUAACAUAACUUAAAGAAAUCAAAAACUUUUCCAAUAUAACAUUAGCCAUAGUCGUGCUUACAUCAAUUACAGAUAACUUUUCAUUUUUCCAAAAACUGGUUAUGAUGUUGGAUGCCAUUUCUUUUAACAAUAAGUUGUAACCGCAUGAAUCCCUAUAAGCACACUAAACUUCUAAGUGUAUUCUAAGUCAUACACCAUAUAUAUUACAAAUUUGUGAAGAAAAUUUUGAUUAAAAAUAAUUUUACUCAUCUGUACUCUGUAGAUCCUAUGUACUGCACCUGGACUGAAGACAAACACUGCACCUGGACUGAAGACAAACACUGCACCUGGACUGAAGACAAACACUGCACCUAGACUAAAGACUUUAGACAUAAUAUCCAAGUUAAAUGGGACUAGUGACCACUGGAACUAGCUCCUUCAAAAAACAUAGUCAUUAUUGACCUCUAUAUUGAUGUGUUAUGAUGAAAUCAUGUUUUUGAUAGUUGCAUUGAUAAAUGUUCAUGCAUUAAAACAUUGGAUUGACUUUGACCCAAGACUUAUUAUAGUUUCUCCAGAGUAUAAAUGAGUUUGUCAAUUUUAAGUGUUUAGAAAAUUUAAUUUUAAUAUUUACCAAUUUGUGAAAUUUGAUAGCAAGGCUAAUGGCUGGUGCACCAAAAUAGAUUUUCAUAAUUGGCUGUAUUUUCACUGAUAAAAAAUUCUGAAAAAUUGUAACAGCAAAUAGCUUCUCUUUAAAGCUGAUAUAAAUUAAGAGCUUUUGUUAAAUUUCUUUAAUUUAUGUUGCCCUCCUUGACGGAAGAAGACACAUUCAUGGCAGAUAGCAAAGUCAUAAUGUACGUAUUUCCUUAAAACUAUGUUCAUGUUUGUAAACAAAAUGGAUCAUUUUUGUCGAGCCUGCAACUUUUGUAGCAGAAAAUUUGACAGGGAUAUUGAUCUGGUGGCGGUGUUAGCUUUAUAUAUUAGAAGGUGGAAGACCUGUAUGCUUCAUACUUUGUAUAUAGAUGCCUCAUGUUGCGAAGUUUCCAUUGGUCACAUUGUCUUAUGUCCUUGACCUCAUUUUCAUGGUUCAGCGACUACCUUAAAAAAAAGAUUUUUUAUGCCCCACCUACGAUAGUAGAGGGGCAUUAUGUUUUCUGGUCUGUGGCUCCGUUCGUCCGUCCGUCCAUCCGUCUGUGCUUCCGUUCGUCCGUCCGUUCAGGUUAAAGUUUUUGGUCAAGGUAGUUUUUGAUGAAGCUGAAGUCCAAUCAACUUGAAACUUAGUAAACUUGUUGCUUAUGAUAUGAUCUUUUUAAUUUUAAAGCCAAAUUAGACUUUUGACCCCAAUUUCACGGUCCACUAAACAUAGAAAAUGAAAGUGGGAGUUUCAGGUUAAAGUUUUUGGUCAAGGUAGUUUUUGAUAAAAUUGAAGUCCAAUCAACUUGAAACUUAGUACAUAUGUUCCCUAUAGUAUAAUCUUUCUAAUUUUAAUGCCAAAUUAGAUUAUUACCCAGUUUCACGGUCCAUGGAACAUGGUAAAGGAUAGUGCGAGUGGGGCAUCCGUGUACUUUGGACACAUUCUUGUUUAAUGAUAAAAACUUGUACCAUAAAGAAAAUUUCAGAGAUUUAAAAGUAAGUUUUGUUUUUUCAGUUGAAUCAAUUUCUUCUAUUGUCUUAAUUACAAAUAUGGAGAAUUGGUUAAAAUGCUUAUGAUACAGCUAUUAUGACCGCUCCUUUUUAAAUGACUGCCAAAAUUUAAAAAAAAUUGGUUGUAUAUUGAUAUCACUUCGUUGUCAGCGUUGUCCAAAGACAGAUGGUUUCUGCAUAAUAACUUAUGAAUAAGUAAAUAGAAAUCAAUAGAAUUUUAACAUAAGGUUUAUAACCAGUACAGGAAUUGAUUUUGGGAGUUUUUGUCUCAAUAGUUUAGAAACAAGGGGCCCAAAAGGGGUCAAAAUAGGUAUUUUUCUAGUUUCGAGACAAUAAUUUGUGUAAGUGUAUGGAUCUUUUUGAAAUUGUGCCACAAGGUUCUAUUUUAGAAAGGAAGGUUUGAAUUGAUUUAGGUGGUUAUGGCCCAAACUGCUUAGAAUUGGGGCCAAAAAGGGGUGAAAACAAUACUUUUCUAAUACUUUGUAUAAAUUGCAGGUAACACACCAGGAUGAGUCGCAUAGUUAGUAUUUGGUCAUUAGAAUUAGGUCUUUCCACUUUUCGUGGAAAGACCUUUUGUUUUUCUUCUGAUUAUUUUUUUUCUUCUGCCGUCUGAGAUGCUUUUUUGUCUUACAACAUAUCGAACACUUAUUCUUAUAGGAGUUAUCUCCCCGCGUUCCCUUUUUCUUGUUAUCGCUAUAUCUCUAAAACCGUAAAAGAUUUUAGCAAACUGUUUUCACCAAAUUGUUCGUCUACUCUUGAGAAUAAUUUGGUUUAUUUUGACUUGAGUGAUGGGAAGACAUCUUUGAAAAUUUAAUAUAGGCUAUUUGUUGGAUAAAUUCAUACGUCUACAGUCUUUUGAUAUGAAGUCCUUGGUCCAUUUGAAGAAAAUCGAAGUCAAGGUCAAAGGUCAAGGUCAUGUUUUAAAUUUAAAAUUUUGCUUGUUAUCAUUAUUCCACAAACUGUGACAGUAAAUGAUAUAUGUUUGCCAAAUAACUGUUUACAAUAAGGCGCAACUUCAACCUAUUUCAGUCAAAGUGUUUUGGUUAACCCUUAUAGGAGUUUUCUCCCCUUAUGUAUUUCAAAUCAGUAUUUCUCCACAACCAUACAAGUGAUUGAAGUUCACUGACCUAUGACCCAAAUUAUUGCUUUUAUGUUCCCCAUUUUAAAGCUGAUACUAAUUUAUAAUUUCCUUUUGUUACAGAUACCCAUAUAUGUUCCACUCCAACGAGAGGGAUUUCAUGGAAGAUAACGCACCAGGAUGAGUCACAUGUUAGUAUUUGCUCAUUAAAAUUGUACUUGAAACUAUGUUUUACUGUAACAAUAGCUUAGAAUUUUAUGACAAAUUUGGUCUUAAAUCAAUUUCUUUUAUUAAAAUUUCGAUUCGAAUGCGGCAUUUUUUAAUUAGAAUUGAUAGUAAUUGUAAAUUAAGUGUCGCUGAUUUAAAAUUUGACAUAAAACACAUCACAUUAAUUUCAAUAGCCAAAAAAUAUUCCCCAUUUUAAAGCUGAUACUAAUUUAUAAUUUCCUUUUGUUACAGAUACCCAUAUAUGUUCCACUCCAACGAGAGGGAUUUCAUGGAAGAUAACGCACCAGGAUGAGUCACAUGUUAGUAUUUGCUCAUUAAAAUUGUACUUGAAACUAUGUUUUACUGUAACAAUAGCUUAGAAUUUUAUGACAAAUUUGGUCUUAAAUCAAUUUCUUUUAUUAAAAUUUCGAUUCGAAUGCGGCAUUUUUUAAUUAGAAUUGAUAGUAAUUGUAAAUUAAGUGUCGCUGAUUUAAAAUUUGACAUAAAACACAUCACAUUAAUUUCAAUAGCCAAAAAAUAUUCCCCAUUUUAAAGCUGAUACUAAUUUAUAAUUUCCUUUUGUUACAGAUACCCAUAUAUGUUCCACUCCAACGAGAGGGAUUUCAUGGAAGAUAACGCACCAGGAUGAGUCACAU
rnacentral:lncRNA from 1 species